rnacentral:lncRNA from 1 species
UGAUGGAGUUACAUUUACCCUAGUUGAUCUACAACCAUCCAUGGCCUAGUUUUUAAGGAUCAGCUGAUGUACCUCUGAUGUCACCACCUGGUACUUUGCCAUCAGUCUAUCUUCUUCCUGGCUACGUCUCAGAUAUGCUAGUGUGGUUUUUACUUGAUGUUUAGCUCUAAGUUAUCAUUUAACAUUUUUCAUUAUGUCACUAUAUCAGAACUUCUGGCAUGUUAUUUAUUUAUUUAUUUUACUGUUAUCAUCAUUGCUAAAAGCUAUUGCAUUUAACCAAAGCUUUAAAACCAGUCCUCUUUUAGAUUGCCUUAUAAACGAUGUUUAAUUCAUCCAGCGAAUUUGGAUCUCUUAAUAUUCACUAAUCUUUUUUUUUUUGGUUUCUCAGUACUUUCACCCAUCUUAUCUAUUAAAAUUGUUACACUAAUGUCUUCUGAUAACGUGUGUGCUUUAGUUCCUAAAAUUACUUUGCAUUUUCAGUUCAGAAGUAUUUCAUUCCUAGACUACUAGGGGCACUUUUAAGAAAUUCCUUAAAUAUUUGUAAAGUGCCUAAAAUGAGCAGGAAGUUAUGACUCCUAUAAAGACGAAUAAGAUAUUCCAUAGCCUAGGAAAUUUUUAUAAUUGAAAAUAUGACUUUUUCUGCUUCUUCAUAGUGUUUGCCUUAGUGGCUUAUUUCGUUGUGUUUAUUGCACAGCUGUGGAGAUGAAUAACAUACUAAAUAAAUAAAGUUAAUGUGGUU